AUUGAACGCUGGCGGCAUGCUUUACACAUGCAAGUCGAACGGUAACAGGCCGCAAGGUGCUGACGAGUGGCGAACGGGUGAGUAAUGCAUCGGAACGUGCCCAGUCGUGGGGGAUAACUACUCGAAAGAGUAGCUAAUACCGCAUACGAUCUAUGGAUGAAAGCGGGGGACCGUAAGGCCUCGCGCGAUUGGAGCGGCCGAUGUCAGAUUAGGUAGUUGGUGGGGUAAAGGCUCACCAAGCCAACGAUCUGUAGCUGGUCUGAGAGGACGACCAGCCACACUGGGACUGAGACACGGCCCAGACUCCUACGGGAGGCAGCAGUGGGGAAUGUUGGACAAUGGGCGCAAGCCUGAUCCAGCAAUGCCGCGUGCAGGAAGAAGGCCUUCGGGUUGUAAACUGCUUUUGUACGGAACGAAACGGCUCUGGUUAAUACCCGGGGCUAAUGACGGUACCGUAAGAAUAAGCACCGGCUAACUACGUG
rnacentral:rRNA from 1 species